rnacentral:rRNA from 1 species
AGUGAACGCUGGCGGCAUGGCUAAGACAUGCAAGUCGAACGGGAUCUACUGAAGGGUAACCGGAUGUAGUGAGAGUGGCGAACGGGUGCGUAACACGUGAACAAUCUACCUUAAAGUUGGGGAUAGCUCGAGGAAACUCGAAUUAAUACCGAAUGUGGUUACCUUCUCGCAUGGGAAGGAUACUAAAGCUUGUAACGGCGCUUUAAGAGGGGUUCGCGGCCUAUCAGC